rnacentral:rRNA from 1 species
UACGUAGGGACCAAGCGUUGUUCGGAUUUAUUGGGCGUAAAGAGCGUGUAGGCGGCCGCACAGGUCCGUUGUGAAAACUGGAGGCUUAACCUUCAGACGUCGAUGGAAACCGUGCGGCUAGAGUCCGGAAGAGGAGAAUGGAAUUCCUGGUGUAGCGGUGAAAUGCGCAGAUAUCAGGAAGAACACCCGUGGCUAAGGCGGUUCUCUAGUACGGUACUGACGCUGAGACGCGAAAGCGUGGGGAGCGAACAGG